UACGUAGGGUGCAAGCGUUGUCCGGAAUUAUUGGGCGUAAAGAGCUCGUAGGCGGUUUGUCGCGUCUGCUGUGAAAACUCGGGGCUUAACUCCGGGCCUGCAGUGGGUACGGGCAGACUAGAGUGCGGUAGGGGGAGACUGGAAUUCCUGGUGUAGCGGUGAAAUGCGCAGAUAUCAGGAGGAACACCGGUGGCGAAGGCGGGUCUCUGGGCCGCUACUGACGCUGAGAAGCGAAAGCGUGGGGAGCGAACAGG
rnacentral:rRNA from 1 species